GACAGAGGUGCCAAGCGUUAGGCGGAAUCACUGGGCUUAAAGCGUGUGUAGGCGGAUCGUUAAGUACCUUGUGAAAUCCCACGGCUCAACCGUGGAACUGCUCGGUAUACUGGCGGUCUUGAGCCACCUAGGGGCAACUGGAACGAGCGGUGGAGCGGUGAAAUGCGUAGAUAUCGCUUGGAACGCCAACGGUGAAAACAGGUUGCUGGGGGUGUGCUGACGCUGAGACACGAAAGCCAGGGGAGCGAACGGG
rnacentral:rRNA from 1 species